GGGUGAACGCUGGCGGCGUGCCUAACACAUGCAAGUCGAGCGGUGCAGUUUGAAGCUUCGGUGGAAAGCUGCAUAGCGGCGGACGGGUGAGGAAAACGUAGGAACGUGCCCCUUGGAGUUGGAUAGCCACGGGAAACUGUGGGUAAACCGACAUAGACUCGAGAGAGUAAAGGCCGAAAGGCGCCAAGGGAGCGGCCUGCGGCCCAUCAGGUAGUUGGUAGUGUAAAGGACUACCAAGCCGACGACGGGUAGCCGGUCUGAGAGGAUGGCCGGCCACAAGGGCACUGAGAGACGGGCCCUACUCCUACGGGAGGCAGCAGUGGGGGAUUUUGGACAAUGGGCGAAAGCCUGAUCCAGCGACGCCGCGUGGAGGACGAAGCCCUUCGGGGUGUAAACUCCUUUUCUCAGGGAAAAAGGAUGAUGGUACCUGAGGAAUAAGCCCCGGCUAACUACGUGCCAGCAGCCGCGGUAAUACGUAGGGGGCGAGCGUUACCCGGAAUUACUGGGCGUAAAGGGUGCGUAGGCGGCCUUGCAAGUCCGGUGUUAAAAGCCCUGGCUCAACUAGGGAGAUGCGCUGGAAACUGUAAGGCUUGGGUGCAGCAGAGGCAGAUGGAACUGCUGGUGUAGGGGUGAAAUCCGUAGAUAUCAGCAGGAACGCCGGUGGAGAAGUCGGUCUGCUGGGCUGUGACCGACGCUGAGGCACGAAAGCUAGGGGAGCGAACCGGAUUAGAUACCCGGGUAGUCCUAGCCGUAAACGAUGCUCACUUGGUGUGGGGGCAUAGAGCCUCUGUGCUGAAGCGAACGCGUUAAGUGAGCCGCCUGGGGAGUAUGCCCGCAAGGGUGAAACUCAAAGGAAUUGACGGGGGCCCGCACAAGCAGUGGAGCGUGUGGUUUAAUUGGAAGCUAAGCCAAGAACCUUACCAGGGUUUGACAUGCUGGUGGUACGGACUCGAAAGAGGAAGGACCUUAUCGAAAGAUGAGGAGCCAGCACAGGUGGUGCACGGUCGUCGUCAGCUCGUGCCGUGAGGUGUUGGGUUAAGUCCCGCAACGAGCGCAACCCCUACUCUUAGUUACCAGCACGAAAG
rnacentral:rRNA from 1 species